rnacentral:rRNA from 1 species
UAGGGAAUUUUGCGCAAUGGAGGAAACUCUGACGCAGCGACGCCGUGUGAACGAUGAAGGCCCUCGGGUCGUAAAGUUCUGUCAGAAGGGAAGAAUAAAGCUCAUACCUAAUACGUAUGAGCCUUGACGGUACCUUCAGAGGAAGCACCGGCUAACUACGUGCCAGCAGCCGCGGUAAUACGUAGGGUGCUAGCGUUGUUCGGAAUUAUUGGGCGUAAAGCGGGUGUAGGUGGUUUAUUAAGUCAGAUGUGAAAGCCCUCGGCUCAACCGGGGAAGUGCAUCUGAAACUACUAAGCUAGAGGACGGCAGAGGGAAGUGGAAUUCCUAGUGUAGAGGUGAAAUUCGUAGAUAUUAGGAGGAAUACCUGUGGCGAAGGCGGCUUCCUGGACCGUUCCUGACACUGAGAUCCGAAAGCGUGGGUAGCAAACAGGAUUAGAUACCCCCGUAGUCC